GGGAAGGUGGCUCAGUGGUAGAGUGCUUGCCUUGCAUGCAUGAAGCCCUGGGUUUGAUUCCUCAGCACCCCA
rnacentral:tRNA from 1 species